AGCGAACGCUGGCGGCAGGCCUAACACAUGCAAGUCGAACGAAGUCUUCGGACUUAGUGGCGGACGGGUGAGUAACACGUGGGAACGUGCCUUUAGGUUCGGCAUAACCCAGGGAAACUUGUGCUAAUACCGAAUGUGCCCUUCGGGGGAAAGAUUUAUCGCCUUUAGAGCGGCCCGCGUCUGAUUAGCUAGUUGGUGGGGUAAUGGCCCACCAAGGCUACGAUCAGUAGCUGGUCUGAGAGGAUGACCAGCCACAUUGGGACUGAGACACAGCCCAAACUCCUACGGGAGGCAGCAGUGGGGAAUCUUGCGCAAUGGGCGAAAGCCUGACGCAGCCAUGCCGCGUGGAUGAUGAAGGUCUUAGGAUUGUAAAAUCAUUUCACCGGUGAAGAUAAUGACUGUAGCCGGAGAAGAAGCCCCGGCUAACUUCGUGCCAGCCGCCGCAGUAAAAC
rnacentral:rRNA from 1 species